UAAAAUUGGUAUCUUCAAAACAUUAAGUGUUUCUCUCUGCCACCACCGUCUUCAUCAUCAUCUUCCCCUUUCUCCCUCUUUUUGGAUACAUCUUAGAAGAGCUCAUACUUUAUCUAUUUCUCAUGUGACUCUGAAGCCUCUUUCUUUCCUUCAACAUACCCAAGGGCAUUUGAAAUUUUGGAAGAAGAAAGCAGUUGGGAUUGAGUUUGCAAAGCAUUUUAGAUCCCACCUAGAUCCCAUUGAAGGUCUCUCGGUGAGUUUUCCCUCCUUAUUUCCUAUAUGCAUUUUCCCUCCUUAUUGUUUAAACUUAGUUCCUUAUCUCAAUUGCUUCCGGUCGUUCUUCUAGUUCUUCCGAUCCCGUAAGUUCUAUUUUUUUUCAUGGAUUUAUUUGACGCUAAUCUCUCUUUUUGUAAUGUUUAUAAAAAUGCUAGAAAAAUGAAAUGGAUUUUUGGAUUUCUUUUAUAAGUUUUGCUCACCAAAAAUAUUGAUUUUUUUUUUGUUAUUCAAUUUUCUUCAUUCGUAGAUAAAUGGAGAAAAUAUAUAUUUUUGUUAUGAUUAUAUCUAGAUUUAGCUGGAUUAUUAUUUGUUUGAUGCUAUAUAUGUGAUUUCUUUUGUUCUGGUUGCGUAAUUAUUUUUGUCUUAUAGCUGGUUAUUUAACUAUUAUUCUCUUUUUCUGGGUUUGAGAUUUGAAUGUUUUGAUAGGAUGGAUUCUUUUUCAUUUUUUUUUCUAAUUUUGGUGGAUAGGGUGGGUUUUAUCUCUGAACUGUGGUUGCUGUGACCGAAAUUGAGUAUAAAAAUCGUAGGUUAUAAGGUGUGCAUUGGAUGCUGAUUUUAUUGAUUUAACUAGAGAGGAAAUAAGAGACCGGCUAAGUUUGUUGGCAGUAUUUGUUGUAAGAUUGGAUGUGCUUGAUGGAUGAUUUAAGAGUGAUUUUGAGUUGUGGACAUGAGUUUUUCGAUAUAUAGAUGACAGAAUCUUGAGUUAUUACUAAGUGGUUCCUUGCUAAAGUAGCUUGAUUGAGGAUCUUAGUAUAGAGAGAAUAUCCUUUUCCCAGUUCUUAUCGGUUUACUUCUGAUAAUUGUGCAGAAUGAUAGGUUUAUUUCUUAUUUUGUAGUCUCUAGACUGCACAGAAACUUAGUUUGGAACAAUCUAAUUCUAGCCAGCAAGGAAUGGAAGCCUCCAUUAAGAGUUUGCUUGCAGAAAAGGAAGAAUUGGCAAUGCAACUUACUAAUUCACUAUUGGAAAUGGAGGAAGAAAAUGCAAUACAGUGUGCUAGAGAGAAGGCUUCAAUUGAAGCUAUUGAAGAGAAAAGAAAGUUAUACAAUUCUCAGAUAACAUCGUUAUCAGAAAAAUUGUCUGAGGAGUCGUGAAUUUCUAUGGCAGGAAGAGCAUACUGCCUUCGCAACAAAGAAAGAGGCAGGCACUAAGUUUGUGGAUGAAGGCUUCAGUGUAAGACCUUGCUUCUCGUGCAGCUAGUCGAGCCAUGGCUGAAGCUGCAAAAAGCAUCAGCCCUCCAAAUACAGCAUAUCAAUUUGAGGUUUCCUGUAAAGCCCUAUCUAGUGAUCGUUCGCUACAGGCUCAUCUUCUGAAGGUUCAUCUCCAAGUGCUUUACCACAGAUCUUUAAAAAUGCAAUGUCUGCUUCCAUGUUAGUUGACAUUGUUAAAUGUGUCGCUACAUUUUUCAGGGAAGAUGUGGAUUUGGCUAUUAAGUAUCUAGAAAAUUUAACCAAGGUUCCAAGAUUUGACAUGCUUAUUCUGUUUCUUUCACCUACAGAAUAAAAUAAUGAAAUUAUAAAUUAAUACAUAAUAAACUUAUAUUUUGAUUUAUGAAAAAAUUAUACAUAAUCAGUGAAGCUCAGUUCCUUUGUUUGAAUUCUUAUGCUUUAGGUAGAUAAGGGUUUCUCUGUACUGCCUGAAAACAUUUUGUAAUUCAAAUAAUAAUAUGCCAUAUGAAAAUAAAAUAAAAUAAAAAACAAGAAUCGAAUAUCAAAAAAUUCAAACAUAGAAGAAGUUUAAUCAAUUUGCUUGUAAAAACUCUUCAAGGUCUAUCUCUUUUCAUCUUCUUAAUUAAUUGUUAAUCUUCCCAAUGGCCGCCUACUAAAGAAAACGAAGUUUUGCCAAUCAAACUAGGUAUUUGUUUUCUUGAUUUUUUAUAUAUAUUAUUUUCUUUUGAUAAAGAACUUGAGGUUUAAUUAAAUUUGACUAAAGACUUGAGGUUGAACUAAUUUGAUUCUGGUUUUUAUUUUAUUUUAUUUUAUUGGCAAGAAAGAUAAAAUAUUUUAUUUAUCAAAUAAUCUAAAAGAUUUUGAAUUCUUAUGCUUUAGGUAGAUAAGAGUUGUUUUUAGUUGUUUUCUUAAAUUAUUUAUGAUUAUAUUAGUUGCAAUAAGGAAAAAUAAUUUCAUUUAUGUACUAGUAGGUUAAAUGGUAAAUUCUUUUAUAUAGCUGCUCUGGCUCGUAAGCUUACCCGGUUAUGUGGUAACUUGCACAGAUUCUAGUUUUUCUUUUUUGGGAAUAGGUAGAUCGUUUACAUUAGUCAAUUAUGUAUGCCCUUGGGUAGUUUCACCUUAAUGAU